GUUGGAGUAUUGGGAGGCCGAGGCAGGCGGAUCAUGAGGUCAGGAGAUCGAGACCAUCCUGGCUAACACGGUGAAACCCCGUCUCUACUAAAAAUUAAAAAAUUAGCUGGGCGUGGUGGCGGGCGCCUGUAAUCCCAGCUACCCGGGAGGCUGAGGCAGGAGAAUGGCGUGAACCUGGGGGGCGGAGCUUGCAGUGAGCCGAGAUCGUGCCACUGCACUCUAGUCUGGGCGACAGAGCGAGACUCUGUCUCAAAAAAAAAAAAAAAAAAAAAACAAAGUUAGAGUAACUCUGAGGACUUGCUCAUAUAUUCAGGAAGCUCUUCUUUGAAAUUAAUUUAUAUAUUUCUUCUCCUAUACCUUCAGUCUGACUGGACUGUAGGGGAAGUGUGUGUGUGUGUGUGUGUGUGUGUGUGUGUGUGUGUGUGUGUGUGUAGGUACCUGUAUGUGAAUAGAACAUUCAUGGAAGGGCACACAAGAAACUGUAAACAGUGCUUACUUUAGGGAGGGGCAUGGAUGAACUGGGAUACCAAAGAGACUAUUUUUAUUUUCAGAUAUUUUGUGCUGUUUUAGACUGCUCUUUCUUCCAUUAAAUGAGAGAUUAGAUCUGAAUGGCCACGUGAUCUUCUGAGUCCCAUCUGUAAGAAUCUGCAUUUCCACGGAAUUGGGGGAGCAAACGUUCUCAAAACAUUCUUAAAUGCAAACCCGCAGGCACAGCAUGUGUCUGUCAACUCCAAGAGCAUUUGGAUGUUCGAAGGGAGAGGAUGUUUGACAUCUAACCCGUCGUGGAAAGAGGAGCCUCUCAAGGAACAUCACGUCUGAAUGCUCGCGGCCUCUGCCUGCCCCGUGGGAUGGUGCUGGAAAUUAUACUCAUAUUUAGAUAGCAUUCUCUGCAAGUGGCUGCUGUUGUCCUUCCAUCGUCAGCACAGGCAGAUGCUGGGAGUACCCACCUUGGGGUGAGGUGGCAAGAGAGGGCCAGCUUGUAUCCGCCUCGUUGUCGUCCUUCCUUCCUGACUUGACUCUCUCCUCUGUGGCCUUCUCAGGAGUGGGAUGUGGUUGUGAGGAGAAUGUGCACUUUACCCCUCACCAGUCCAGAGAGGGGCACAUAGCCCAAACCUCUCCCCUUCCCAGAAACCUGCAAGUCCCCCUGGGUGCGCCUGUGUGAUGAGGCAGGCUCCGAGAGCCACAGGCUGGUGGGCCACUAGGAAGCAGUAAAGGAAGACAUUUUAUGAUUGUAGCUGGAGAUAAUGAAUUGAAAAGCUGGUCUCUGUUUCUGGAAAUGAUGCCAGGAGGCCCUCAAAAUAAACGCCCACCUGUCCUUCAGGUCUCAACACCUGUUGCUCUUGGGACAGAGAUCCCAGGCCCAAAAUAGGCACAGCUGCUAUGGAUGCUCGUCUUGCCCUCCUGGAGCUGAGACUGGGCCAUGUUUGGAAAUAUGUCUCCCUCCAUCCCCUCCUCCCAUCCUCAUUUGGAGCCUUAGGGCUUUAAGACGUGAGCUCUUUCCUCGCUCCCUCUCCCCAGUCUUUCUUGGGUAUCUCUGCUCCUCCCAUCACCUGUUCCUGGGCAUGGCAUAGGCAGUUGGUAAAUGACAGAUGAAUGAAUACAUGUACAAGGAAACACAGAUCUGAAAUUUCUAGCAGCAAAGUUUGGAGCAGGAAGCUCUGGCUGGCCCUGGGCUUUUUGCUAAGGGUGUUCUGGCUUCGCGUGGCAGCACCCCUCCCCACCGGGCCUUUGCCAGGACGCUCGAUCCUCUCUUCGGGCUUCUGAGCAGUGUGAAUUGCAAACAGCCAUGCCCACUCCCCAGGCCAAGAAAACCAAGUUCAUGGCCAGGAUUGCUCACAAAAAAAAAAAAAAAAAAAGAACCACUUCUGCCUUAUCAUUCUCUCUUUAUUACCGAAAUGCGGAGACAGAAAGUCAACAGAGAAAGAAUUGUUUUCCCCAAGGCCACACAGAUUGCUCCAACACUUGACUUUUCCUGCUAGGAACUCAAUCCAAGAGAUGGGCUUUCUUUUGUUCUCUGACUAUAAAAGGGUGUCACCUUGUCACCAUCUUCUAUCACACAGGACCCCUAUGGGCUUGGUUUGGUUUUGUUCUUUCAUCAUUAUUAUUUGGAAAGUUAUAUUUCCUUUACUGUCCUUGAGGUGUGAGGCUUCACCUCAUCUUGUCUCCAUAUCCCUGAGUCACUAAGGAGUCCUAUGUCAAUGACACCUCUCCAUAUGCUUUACCUAAGCUGCCCCUUCUCUCAGCAAGUUCGCGCCAGGCUUCCCCAUGAAGGCCACCUAAGGGUGUCUAUCGUCCCCCUCCUAAAUCUCCCCAGGACUUUUGAACAAGGGCCAUGUCCAGUUUAAUGUCACACAAAGAAGACUCAUCAAAGCCCAGGAGUUGGGAGUUCUUGCUCCUCACUGCCAUGGAAAGCAUGAAACAUCUGAGAUAAAAAUAAUCUGUGCCAUCCCCUGGCUCCGGAUGGACAGCAGUUGGGGCAUGAGCGCCUCCAGAAUGUCUCAGCAUUGCUGAGGGUAACCGGAUCGCCGCUCAGAUCCAGCAGGCAGCCUCAGAACCUCCCAGCUGCUGUUGUUUUUAGCACCGGGAUUAUUGGUAGGGGUGUAAAUAGACAUCUGUGUUCUGGGUGGCUCGCUCACCCCACAUUCCUAGGCACACUUGUUUUAUUAAAGCUCUCAGCUGUCGGGUGAUCCAGGCGUGGAGAAAUGAAAGGCCGCCCUCACCAGCUGGUGGUGGACUGCAAACUGCAACCAGUUUUCCCCCAUAAGGACAUGUUACUCCUAUUAGAAACUGUGUCCCUCACAUGUCCUUAAGAAGCGGGCCAUCUGCCAAUCAUAAAUCGAGAUCUCAGCCGUUCCAAAUAAAGAAAGAGUCUACCCUCCUUGCUGGCAGUCCUUUUAUAGUUGACAGAUUUUUUUUUUUAAUCUUGUGCUUGGCCAUGUAUUUCUUGUGUAAUUAAAAAAUUAUAAAAGGUAAUAAAAAAUACAAAUCCACUGCUAAGAGAUUUAAGACUCAAUAAAAAUUUCAGAAAGCCAGAGGUUUCUGGAUAGUAUGAGGAUUACAAGGAGAAGGUUAAUAAAUUCCAUGUCCCAACACCAGAAAAAAAGAAUAAAAGAGAAAAAACAAGGCUAUUUAUGAAAAGGAAAAGUAAUUAGAAAUGGCCCUUAAUGGCUGAGUGUGGUGGCUCAUACCUGUAAUCCCAGCACCUUGGGAGGCCGAGG
rnacentral:lncRNA from 1 species